GCGGAGCAUGCGGAUUAAUUCGAUGCAACGCGAAGAACCUUACCAAGGCUUGACAUAUAGAGGAAAAGCGUAGAAAUACGCUCCCCGCAAGGUCUCUAUACAGGUGGUGCAUGGUUGUCGUCAGCUCGUGUCGUGAGAUGUUGGGUUAAGUCCCGCAACGAGCGCAACCCUCGUCCUAUGUUGCCAGCACGUAAUGGUGGGAACUCAUGGGAUACUGCCGGGGUCAACUCGGAGGAAGGUGGGGAUGACGUCAAAUCAUCAUGCCCCUUAUGUCUUGGGCUUCACGCAUGCUACAAUGGCCGGUACAGAGGGCUGCAAUACCGCAAGGUGGAGCGAAUCCCAAAAAGCCGGUCUCAGUUCGGAUUGAGGUCUGCAACUCGACCUCAUGAAGUUGGAGUCGCUAGUAAUCGUGGAUCAGCAACGCCACGGUGAAUACGUUCCCGGGCCUUGUACACACCGCCCGUCAAGUCAUGAAAGUCGGUAACACCCGAAGCCAGUGGCCUCAACCGCAAGGGGGGAGCUGUCGAAGGUGGGAUCGGUGAUUAGGACU
rnacentral:rRNA from 1 species